rnacentral:tRNA from 1 species
UCGGGAGUCGUUCAAGGGUAGGACGUCGGUCUUUGGAACCGAUAACGGUGGUUCGAAUCCACCCUCCCGAGCCA